ensembl:lncRNA
GUGAGUUUAAUUGCUUUUUAAUUUUUAUUUACAGUUACUAUAAAUAACUACAGCGGAUCAUGUAAGAUAAUCAUUCCCUGUGGCCCUCCUGUGCCACUCUCACUUGCACAUUGUGCAGCUGGACCGUUACAGUCAGAAUUAACUUGCGGUUAAGGUCUGCUUUGGUUUGGCUGGGACACGUUUGCCUAAUUAAUUUGACUCACAGCUGGGAAUAAGUCCAUGCCCCCCAGUGUGGUGGGGACAGGACCCAGAGGGGUUACUGAGGAGAUUAGAGGGGUAAAGGGGAGCUCCAUUAUUCUGUGUCAACACUUUCUCCCCCACCCCAUCCAUAGGUCUUCCACUUAAGUAACUCAAAAUAUAUUUCCCCAUCCCUGGUGUUUUCCUUAAAUGUUAACCAAAAAUAAUUAAAACGGUGUAGUUGUGCUGUUCCUGUAGAUGACUAAUUAGGCUCACACAACAGGGGAAUAGGAAGGCCCACUGUAAAUGAGGACAGCCCACAGUGAAGCAGCAGCAGUGUCUCAGUAAUCUGUUAUCAUAUAUAUCAGACACACAUGCACAUGACUGUGGAUUCUGGUAACCAUCAAGACAGAAUGGGGGCAUUUUCUGCCAACAGAUGGUGCUAUAAGUAGGAAUAACUCUUAAUGGUGUGGAAAACCUGUAUUUGGAACACAAGUCCAUAGUAUCUAAUGCAUACUGGGAUUUUUUUUUUUUUUUUUUAAAGUUUAAUUAUUGUCUUGGGCUAGUGAACACCUGCAAUGGAUUCCAUAAUCAGCAUUCUUGUAAAACAAUUUAACAUGAGGCAGCAGUGCAGCACUCCCCCCAAUACCAGAUGGGUGGAGGAGAGUCUGACUCCAGCAGUCCGUGUGGUGUGCUCAACUCUGCUGCAUCACAGCCAAGUGACACAGAGGAUCCUUUGUGUCACCAUCAUCACGCUGCCUGGAGCCAAGAGACACUGCUCCAGAAAGGAAGACUCAUUUUCUCACAAACUUUAAGGGAGUGGCUCAAGAAUAGACACCAAACUGGGCUAAUUAAAAAUAGAAGAAGGCCUGCAUGAAAGAGUGACUCCUCUGAUUCCGCAAAGGUGUAUCCACAGACAUAGACACCCCCCCCCCCCUCUCCAUUUUACAUAGCAAUCUGAGCCCGACUGAACUUUACGGUGCACCAAGAGGGAGCAGGCCAGACCUCGCUUACCAAGCACUGUAUUUGUUUUCUUUCAGCUAUCUCUUUAUCC